rnacentral:rRNA from 1 species
GACGAACGCUGGCGGCGUGCUUAACACAUGCAAGUCGAGCGAUGAAGCACCUUCGGGUGUGAAUUAGCGGCGAACGGGUGAGGAACACGUGAGAAAUCUGCCUUCAACACUGGGAUAACUCCGGGAAACCGGGGCUAAUACCGGAUAUGAAACCUGCGGGCAUCCGCGGGUUUGGAAAGUUUUUCGGUUGAAGAUGAUCUCGCGGCCUAUCAGCUUGUUGGUGAGGUAAUGGCUCACCAAGGCGACGACGGGUAGCCGGCCUGAGAGGGCGACCGGCCACACUGGGACUGAGACACGGCCCAGACUCCUACGGGAGGCAGCAGUGGGGAAUAUUGGGCAAUGGAGGAAACUCUGACCCAGCGACGCCGCGUGCGGGAUGAAGGCCUUCGGGUUGUAAACCGCUUUCAGCAGGGAAGAAGCGAAAGUGACGGUACCUGCAGAAGAAGCACCGGCUAACUAUGUGCCAGCAGCCGCGGUAAUACAUAGGGUGCAAGCGUUGUCCGGAAUUAUUGGGCGUAAAGAGCUCGUAGGUGGUUCGUCACGUCGGAUGUGAAACUCUGGGGCUUAACCCCAGACCUGCAUUCGAUACGGGCGAGCUUGAGUAUGGUAGGGGAGUCUGGAAUUCCUGGUGUAGCGGUGGAAUGCGCAGAUAUCAGGAGGAACACCAAUGGCGAAGGCAGGACUCUGGGCC